CCCUAGCUGGUCUGAGAGGAUGACCAGCCACACUGGAACUGAGACACGGUCCAGACUCCUACGGGAGGCAGCAGUGGGGAAUAUUGCACAAUGGGCGCAAGCCUGAUGCAGCCAUGCCGCGUGUAUGAAGAAGGCCUUCGGGUUGUAAAGUACUUUCAGCGGGGAGGAAGGUGUUGC
rnacentral:rRNA from 1 species